rnacentral:lncRNA from 1 species
UUCAUCCGAGCCCCUACUACAAACGGUCUACUCCGAACUCCCACCACAAAUGGUCUACUCUGAGCUUCUAUUACAAGCGACCUACUUCAAAUUUCUACUACGAACAGUCUACUCCAAACUCCUACAGCGGGCUGUCUACCCCAAACGUCUACUGUAAGCAAAUUCCAUUUGAGCCUCUACUAUGAACAAAAUUUUUUCGAACUUCCAUUACAGGUAGACCU